rnacentral:rRNA from 1 species
GAUGAACGCUGGCGGCGUGCCUAAUACAUGCAAGUCGAGCGAACAGAUGAGGAGCUUGCUCCUCUGACGUUAGCGGCGGACGGGUGAGUAACACGUGGAUAACCUACCUAUAAGACUGGGAUAACUUCGGGAAACCGGAGCUAAUACCGGAUAAUAUAUUGAACCGCAUGGUUCAAUAGUGAAAGACGGUUUUGCUGUCACUUAUAGAUGGAUCCGCGCCGCAUUAGCUAGUUGGUAAGGUAACGGCUUACCAAGGCAACGAUGCGUAGCCGACCUGAGAGGGUGAUCGGCCACACUGGAACUGAGACACGGUCCAGACUCCUACGGGAGGCAGCAGUAGGGAAUCUUCCGCAAUGGGCGAAAGCCUGCCGGAGCAACGCCGCGUGAGUGAUGAAGGUCUUCGGAUCGUAAAACUCUGUUAUUAGGGAAGAACAAAUGUGUAAGUAACUAUGCACGUCUUGACGGUACCUAAUCAGAAAGCCACGGCUAACUACGUG